rnacentral:rRNA from 1 species
AUUGAACGCUGGCGGCGGGCUUAACACAUGCAAGUCGAACGAGCGGCGGACGGGUGAGUAAUGUAUGGGGACUGCCCGAUAGAGGGGGAUAACUACUGGAAACGGUAGCUAAUACCGCAUACUAUCGGAUAACCCAUAUGGGAUUAGCUAGUUGGUGGGGUAAUGGCUCACCAAGGCGACGAUCCCUAGCUGGUCUGAGAGGAUGAAAAGCAACACUGUGACUGAGACACGGCCCAGGCUCCUACGGAGGCAGCAGUGGGGAAUAUUGCACAAUGGGCGCAAGCCUGAUGCAGCCAUGCAGCGUGUAUGAAGAAGGCCCUAGGGUUGUAAAGUACUUUCAGUGGGGAGGCGUUACCAGCAGAAGAAGCACCGGCUAACUCCGUGCCAGCAGCCGCGGUAAUAC